AGGCAUCACCAGGGAGAUGAUGAAGAAGGGCAGCCAACACACAAUAAAUGCUCCUAAAAUGAUCCCUAGGGUCUUGGUGGCCUUGCGCUCCCUAGCGGCCAUGAGUUUCUUCUUUUCCAGCAGGGCGUCUGAGACUCGCACUUUGACUUGGUUCACGUACACAGGAGACCCGGACUCACUGGGCACGUCCGGAGCCCGGGAGUUAAUGGAGGUGACCGAGGAUGUGGAUCCCGGGGAGUCUGUUAUCAACUGGGCUCGGGUCAAGCGCUUGCCGGUCUUGUUGGGUGUCUGUUUCAAAAUCCGAGAGCGGGCUUCCACAUAGAUGCGGCCAUAGAGGGCGAUGAGGAGCAGGGUGGGUAAAUAGAAAGCGCCCACCGUGGAGUAGACCGUGUAGAGGACGUGGUCGGUGUUCACAAAGCAGUCCAGCAUCUCCUCCUCUGCUUUGGCUUGACGCCAGAAGAAGGGUGGCAACGAAAUAGAGAUGGAGAAGACCCACACCAGCACGAUCAUGAUGGCCGCCCUUUUGGGAGUCCUUUUAGCAGAAUACUCCACCGCAUCGGUGAUGGCCCAGUAGCGGUCCAGGGCGAUGACACAGAGAUGCAUGAUGGAAGCAGUGCAACAGGUGAUAUCCGACGACAGCCAGAAGUCGCAGACCACCUGGCCUAGUGUCCAGCGUCCAGUGACCGUGUACAUGGUGCUGAUGGGCAUCACCAGGAUGGACACGAGCAGCAUUUCAAAGCAAAACUCCUGCAAGUACCAUUUACAAGAAGGAUCUAUGCGAGGCACAAAGCAAAUCUCAAGCAAACUGAAACUGACAGUUAAUCAAAAAAGAUGAUUAAGAAAAUAACGGUAAUCAAAGGAAAUAACUUCUCCAUCAACAAUCAGCAUACACCAUGACUGCAAGCUCCUGCUGCCUGCACCUCCUUGCCAUGAUGGACUGUACCUUGAACCCUGUGCUAAAAGAAGCCUGUUCUUUCAUAAGUUGCUUUCAUCAGAGUAUUAUGUCACAGCAACAGAAGAGAAACUAGGACAGCAUAAAUAAAGUUACAUUUCAUAAAUUUGCCAGCACCCAAAUCUAACUCAACCCUCCCAAGUAUACAGAGCCAUGUUCUAUCUUGUCCUUGUCAAAUACCCCUGUCUUUCUCUCAGGUACUUCCAAAGGCUGAUGGCUGACACCUUGGCAACAAAAAUGUAUAACUACAUUGUCUUGGUUCAUUCUUCUCUCAGUAGAUUAUUGCUUUGGAUCCUAAAUGCCAAUAUUUUUUCUGUAUAUAUUAAAUGAAAAGGUCUAAGACAGUGAUGACUUCUCUUGUUAGAAAAGUUUACUUUUCUGCCAAAUGUAUACUCUAUUUUCAGUAUUAGAGUAUGCUUUUAUUAUGUCUAUUUUGUUCUCAACUACCGCUUGACUAUAACAGACUAGUUAUGAGAAUUUGUCCUAAGGUAGUAAAUUUUAAGGCU
rnacentral:lncRNA from 1 species